rnacentral:rRNA from 1 species
UACGUAGGGACCAAGCGUUGUUCGGAUUUACUGGGCGUAAAGGGCGCGUAGGCGGCUUGACAAGUCACUUGUGAAAUCUCCGGGCUUAACUCGGAACGGCCAAGUGAAACUGUCAUGCUAGAGUGCAGAAGGGGCAAUCGGAAUUCUUGGUGUAGCGGUGAAAUGCGUAGAUAUCUGGAGGAAUACCGGUGGCGAAGGCGGCAUCCUGGACCAUUACUGACGCUGAGGCGCGAAAGCUAGGGGAGCAAACGGG